rnacentral:lncRNA from 1 species
UUCCGCGUCCCUCGCAUUCACCUCAGGUUCUUCCCAACUUAUUCGUUCCUGUAUUUAUAUAUGAUAUACAUACAUGAGCAUCUAGAUUUUGCUCAUACAUUUUGCUCCUACUGUUUCUGAAUGGACUUUUCCCCUGUUUUGAUAGUUUCACAUAUUUUGUUUAUAUGCGACGUCCUCAGCUACAAACGAGGGCCCCAUCGGCUGGUCGCCGCUCGGUAGCCCAACGAGCUAGAAGAGCAUCUUUCCCGAGUGCCCCCUGUUGUUGCUGCUCCUCUUGCUUCCUCUGCACUUGGCUCGGAAUCUGCUGUCCUUCAGAAUCUUCCUAGGUUUGUCUUCUGU